CCACAAAGCUGCAGACAACCAUCACAGUACUUCCAGGCAACAGGGUCAUCACCUUUGAGCUCACCUCUCUGAAGAUCUUUCUGUUGUAACUGGGCCAAGGUCAGUCUUUGAAACUGGCCCUCCUGUGGCUUGCAAGAAGAACUUCAACAUGGGAGAGUGCUUGGAAUAUGUUGAAUCUAAUUCUUUCCAUUGUACAGUUAGAGACACUGAGGCCAGGAGAGGAGAAAGGAUCAGUAUACAUUGACCAUCACUUCCAUGUCAUCAGGUAGGACGCAAAGGUGAGUACUGGUCUAGCUUCUCUGGAGAUUACAGGUAGAACUAAAAGGUACAUGGGAUAUAGGUCAGAUAAGAGGAUGAACUUCCUUGCAAGGCUCUAUGAUCAUACAACCUUAGCAUGUCCCCGCAGAAAGGAACCAGAGGAAGAUUCUAAACCAUAGGUUUGAAAACAAGUUGUAGUCACUGCAUAACUUGAAUCCUAUGCAGGGAACCCCACUCCAGCAUCAUUAUCAAAUAGCCUGUCCUGCACAGAAAUGUAGAGCUAUGGCUCUGAGUCCAUGUCCCGCAAGGCAGCACUGAUUAGCCUCUUUGGGUAUCCUUCCUAGGCGCACUGUGCCCUCUAAUUGAUCCCCUUGGGUCCCCCUCCUGCUGACCUGCCAGAUCUCUGAGAAAAACUCUUCCACUUUCUUUAGCGUCUCCCUCGAGUCCCUGCAUCUCCGCAUCCAUUGCAAGAGUCUGCGUGGACCACGGGUGGCCGGCCAGCGGGCAGGGGGCGGGGAGGGCGCAGGCAGCGCCAUGGCCAGGGCCUUGACAGCUGUGGCCAUGUGGAGACACUGGCAUGGCUCCCCCUGCAGUCUGGUACUGUGCCCGGGGAACUGCCCUUUGUCUUUAGGCCAUAAGGUACACUAAGGCGGGACAUGUCAGUCCACAGGGCCACCACCUCUGGGGCCAGUGGACUCCUGCAGUCCCCGCAGGUGGUGCUGGGAAUUGAUGACGUGAACAGUGCCAGCAGGAGGCUUUUCAUUUCUCAUCAAGUUCAUUCAAUCGCUUUCCCUCCCCGCCCCCUCUGGGCAUUGAACCUAGGACCUCUGAGUAGUGGGGCAAGUGUUCUACCACUGAGCCACACCUCUCGCCCUAGGGGACCAUUUUUCAUCACUCCUUCUUGAGGCCCAAGAGUGUCUGGGCCCCUUUCUCUGGGUAAUAUUCCAGGCAGAGAAGGAGACUAAAUUGGACAAAGUGAGCACCUAGUAUGUGCCAGGUUUUAGGUCAGGUGCUUCUCUUCUAUGUUUCCCUUUCAUCCUCAAACCCCUGAGGCAGGUGUGACGGUCCCCUUUUAUAGAUGAAUGACCCAAAGCCUACAGGGGUUGGACACUCUUUGUGUAAGGGCACCUGGAGCACACAGCUGUCCCCAAGCCUUCCCCCACCUCCACCGCCCCUACAAAGCGGGAAGACCCAGAAAGCUGCACGGGGGAAAGGGGAGUAGGAGGAACAGGCUGGGAAGAUGCAGAGAGCUGCCCCCAGCCCCGAAACUGGCAGCUCGGCCUCCUGCCCAGAGGGGUGUGGCUCUGGAGGGACCUUCUGGGAAUAGAGAGAAAUUCAUUAGCAGAUGUGCAAGUCCCCAAGUGAUUACAGAUCGAUGCUCUGAGCUCCAUCAGCAGGGGGGUUAUGUUUAUUAUCUGACUUGGCCCAAAGGCCCCCCAGUCCCACCUCUCCAUACUUCUUUCCCCUCCUCCUGAGGUGCUCAGGCCCACUCCGUCUGCCUCCUCCCAGGCCUCUCUUCAAUCCACACAGCCUAGGCCAGUUCCCAGAACAGACACACUGGGGAUGGAAGUGGUGGGGAAUGAGGGGUGGCAGGGUGCCGGGAUUACCUCCUGAACAGCAGGCUCAUUUGCUAAUCUGAGCUUUGUUCAUUUCAGGGACCAAAGAGGACUUCAUUUCCAUUUUGGGAUAGGCCAGAAGGAAAGAGAGUGGGGAACUACAGCAGUAAAGAUAAAGGAUGGAUAAUAAGAGGAACUUCCAGUUGCCAUCGAGCUUUGAUUCCUGGACUGGGGUACACAUACUGCUUGGCUAUGGGAAAAGGGCUGGAAUGGAAAUGACACAGGCUGGGCCUGUAGCCAAUGGGAACUUCCCCGUAGAAGAUGCCACUUAAAAGUGUUAUUAAACCCUCAGGACUUUUAAAGUGGAGAACAAGGUAACUAUGAACACCCUUUAAAGUGAUAUUGAGAGUUCCCAAGAGACGUCCGUGUCUUUCUCACUUCCCCCUGUCUUGGGAUGGAGACAUGUGGCUCCUGCGACAUCCCCCUCCUACCAGUUUCUUCUCU
rnacentral:lncRNA from 1 species